UACGAAGGGGGCUAGCGUUGUUCGGAAUCACUGGGCGUAAAGGGCGCGUAGGCGGCCGAUCAAGUCGGGGGUGAAAGCCUGUGGCUUAACCACAGAAUGGCCUUCGAUACUGUUUGGCUUGAGACCGGAAGAGGUUAGUGGAACUGCGAGUGUAGAGGUGAAAUUCGUGGAUAUUCGCAAGAACACCAGUGGCGAAGGCGGCUGACUGGUCCGGUUCUGACGCUGAGGCGCGAAAGCGUGGGGAGCAAACAGG
rnacentral:rRNA from 1 species